rnacentral:lncRNA from 1 species
GCAUAAUACAAAACAAGAAACACGAACAACGCCAAGACAUGAAACAAUGACGCCUGGGGAAGGAACCAAAGGGAGUGACAUAUAUAGGGAAGGUAAUCAGGGAGGUGAUGGAGUCCAGGUGAGUCUGAUGAUGCACAGGUGCGCGUAACGAAGGUGACAGGUGUGCGCCAUAACGAGCAGCCUGGUGACCUAGAGGCCAGAGAGGGAGCACACGUGACACUUUCCCUCUAUCAAUUCAAUUCAAUUCAAAGGGCUUUAUUGGCAUGGGAAACAUAUGUUAACAUUGCCAAAGCAAGUGAAAUAGAACAUAAACAAAAGUUAAAUAAACAAUAAAAAAAUGAACUGUAAACAUUACACUCACAAAAGUUCCAAAAGAAAAAGACGUUUGAAAUCUCUCUGUCUCUGUCUCUGUCUCGCUCUCUCUCUCUCUCUGUCUCUCUCCUUCUCUUUCUCUCUCUGUCUCUCUCCUCCCAGAAUGGUGUUUAAUGAGGCUGGCACUGCCUGUAAGUGAUUUAAUAACCAGGACUUACUACAGGGAGGUACAUUUGCCCUGGUCUGUGUUGGGGUUGGGCAGCUGCACACUUGCUAUCACUUGAUUAUUCUGUCUGUCUGACUCUAAUGUGUCCCCCUGCUGCCGGCUGGUACCGUCGCUGCAACCAUGUAUCCCCCUGCUGCCGGCUGGUACCGUCGCUGCAACCAUGUAUCCCCCUGCUGCCGGCUGGUACCAUCGCUGCAACCAUGUAUCCCCCUGCUGCCGGCUGGUACCGUCGCUGCAACCAUGUAUCCCCCUGCUGCCGGCUGGUACCGUCGCUGCAACCAUGUAUCCCCCUGCUGCCAGUUGGUACCUGUCGACUACCACCCCCACUGUAUACAUAUGUGCGCACGCACACACUCAUGCACAAAGGGAAUAGGAGUUGUUAGGGAGUUUGAGAUGGGGGGCUAAAGGAAGAGGAGUUGUUAGGGAGUUUGAGAUGGGGGGCUAAAGGAAGAGGAGUUGUUAGGGAGUUUGAGAUGGGGGGCUAGGGGAAGAGGAGUUGUUAGGGAGUUUGAGAUGGGGGGCUAGGGGAAGAGGAGUUGUUAGGGAGUUUGAGAUGGGGGACUAGGGGAAGAGGAGUUGUUAGGGAGUUUGAGAUGGGGGCUAAAGGAAGAGGAGUUGUUAGGGAGUUUGAGAUGGGGGGCUAGGGGAAGAGGAGUUGUUAGGGAGUUUGAGAUGGGGGGCUAGGGGAAGAGGAGUUGUUAGGGAUUUGAGAUGGGGGGCUAAAGGAAGAGGAGUUGUUAGGGAGUUUGAGAUGGGGGGGCUAAAGGAAGAGGAGUUGUUAGGGAGUUUGAGAUGGGGGGGCUAGGGGAAGAGGAGUUGUUAGGGAGUUUGAGAUGGGGGGGCUAAAGGAAGAGGAGUUGUUAGGGAGUUUGAGAUGGGGGGCUAGGGGAAGAGGAGUUGUUAGGGAGUUUGAGAUGGGGGGCUAGGGGAAGAGGAGUUGUUAGGGAGUUUGAGAUGGGGGCUAGGGGAAGAAGAGUUGUUAGGGAGUUUGAGAUGGGGGGGCUAGGGGAAGAGGAGUUGUUAGGGAGUUUGAGAUGGGGGACUAGGGGAAGAGGAGUUGUUAGGGAGUUUGAGAUGGGGGGCUAGGGGAAGAGGAGUUGUUAGGGAGUUUGAGAUGGGGGCUAGGGGAAGAGGAGUUGUUAGGGAGUUUGAGAUGGGGGCUAGGGGAAGAGGAGUUGUUAGGGAGUUUGAGAUGGGGGACUAGGGGAAGAGGAGUUGUUAGGGAGUUUGAGAUGGGGGGCUAGGGGAAGAGGAGUUGUUAGGGAGUUUGAGAUGGGGGGGCUAGGGGAAGAGGAGAUGUUGCGGAGUUUAAGGUGUGUGUGUGUGGGAGGGGGGUGGUCUGGGGAACAGGAGCUGAUUAAUUAAAGGGUUUGCUGAUUUGGGGAGAAAGUUAAGUUCACCCUCUGCGUGGUGAACCUGUAAGUUGCUCUGAAAGAUCCUGCCUCAACGGAUACUCUGUUAUCUGAUGCUGUACCAACCCAUCUAAGAAAUGAGAUGCUACAACUACAGGGAAAGUGGGAAACAACUACAGGGAAAGGUUUUUUGAUUGACAAUUAAAGGCAAUGUUCCCGCGGUCGCAGAGACUGCAUUCACGGUAAACGCUGCAUAUGUCGGCUCAGUCAUAAAUUACCUUUUCAUUUUAGCACGAUACGGAUUGAAUCCAGCCCUUAGCUUUAAACACGCCCACCAGUAAUUUAAGGUCUUGAUUCAAUACGUAUUUAAAGGUAAUUUCCGGUAAGCCGAACUAUGCAGCGUUUACCAUGAAUGCAGUCUCUGCGAACGCGGGAACAUUGCCUUUAACUCUUGAAUAAUAAUGCAAAAUGUAGAUUUCUUCCUAAAUAGACAUACCCAAAAGUAAUUAUUUGUCAUGAGAGGGCCAUAAACAAUAACUGGUAAUGCUACAUAGUUCUUGAAAAGUCUGGAACUGUCACGCAGAACCAAGGGUUCUCUAUGGUAUAGUAGGUCAGGGCGUGACUGGGGGUGUUCUAUGUUGUUUAUUUCUAUGUUGGUGUGCUUGGUAUGGUUCCCAAUCAGAGGCAGCUGUUUAGCGUUGUCUCUGAUUGGGGAUCAUAUUUAGGCAGCCAUUUCCCCACUGUGUUUUGUGGGAUCUUGUUUUUGUGUAGUUGCCUAUGAGCACUGCUUGAGCUUCACGUAUCGUUUAUUCUUUAUUGUUUUGAGCCGUUCACUUAAAUAAAAUAUGUGGAACCCAGAUCACGCUGCACGUUGGUCUGAGUAUGCUUCCAGUUCGUACGACGAGCGUGACAGGAACUCAUAUUUUUGGUUAAAAAUAAAACAUUGCUGAGGUGGACGCACUUUUGAGGACACAAGCUCAAGUACAUAGUACAAAUAGUGAAAAUAUGAACAUUUAUUCUAGAUUUUUUUUCCUAAUCAACAAAAGUGGGGAAUAGGGCUUGAAAUGACUGAAAUUGUCACGCCCUGACCUUAGAGAUCCUUUUUAUUCUCUAUUUUGGUUAGGUCAGGGUGUGACUAGGGUGGGUACUCUAGUUUUGUAUUUCUAUGUUGGCCUGAUAUGGUUCCCAAUCUCGUUGUCUCUGAUUGGGGAUCAUAUUUAAGCAGCCUUUUCCCACCUGUUGUUUGUGGGAUCUUACUUUGAGGUAGUGCAUGUAGCACCUCUGUCGUCACGGUUUGUUGGUUGUUUCUUUUUUGUUGUUGUUGGUUGUAAAGUUUCACUAAAAUAAAAUGUGGAACUCAGAGCACGCUGCGCCUUGGUCCUUCUCUACACACAAACGUGACAGAAAUGCUUUCUAAAUAUAGUAAUAAUGAAAUUGUAAA